CGACGCUGGCGGCGUGCCUAACACAUGCAAGUCAACUUGACGGAAGGAGCAAUCUGACCGUAGAGUGGCGCAAGGGUGCGUAACGCGUAAGUAACUUGCCCAAGGUAAGGAAUAACGUCGAGAAAUCGGCGCUAAUACCUCAUAAUGCAGCGGAUCCGCAUGGAUAUGUUGUUAAAGGUUUACCGCCUUGGGAUAGGCUUGCGUCUGAUUAGCUAGUUGGUGUGGUAACGGCACACCAAGGCUACGAUCAGUAACUGGUCUGAGAGGAUGAUCAGUCACACUGGAACUGAGACACGGUCCAGACUCCUACGGGAGGCAGCAGUGAGGAAUAUUGGGCAAUGCUCGAAAGAGUGACCCAGCAACGCCGCGUGGAGGAUGAAGGUAUUCUAUAUCGUAAACUCCUGUGAGAGCAGACGAAAGACAGAUUAUUAAUCUGGAUGACUGUAUGCUCAGAGGAAGCCCCGGCUAACUACGUG
rnacentral:rRNA from 1 species